rnacentral:misc_RNA from 1 species
GAUGAAGAACGCAGCGAAAUGCGAUAACUAAUGUGAAUUGCAGAAUUCAGUGAAUCAUCGAGUCUUUGAACGCACAUUGCGCCCCCUGGUAUUCCGGGGGGCAUGCCUGUCCGAGCGUCAUUGCUGCCCUCAAGCACGGCUUGUGUGUUGGGCUCCGUCCCCCCGGGGACGGGUCCGAAAGGCAGCGGCGGCACCGAGUCCGGUCCUCGAGCGUAUGGGGCUUUGUCACCCGCUCUGUAGGCCCGGCCGGCGCCAGCCGACAACCAAUCAUCCUUUUUUUCAGGUUGACCUCGGAUCAGGUAGGGAUACCCGCUGAACUUAAGCAUAUCAAUAAGCGGAGGA